AUGCCUGCUUGAAAUGCCUUGUGCCGCGGUCUACGCUGUGUCUGUAUGUAGGAGGUAUUUGCCUGAUUAACGUACCCAUUGUAGAACAAGGUGUGCCAUAGCACCGCUUGUGCUAGUUCUUACCUUGAGACGAGAUUCCUCCGGGAGAGGAAAGAGGGCAAUAGAAAUGUAAGCUCAAUAGAAAUGCUACUGUAGUUCUUUAGAUCAGUCGGCUUAAAUAAUGUUCUUGGAAUCGGACUUGUAUAAUGUCGCUCAGAGUAAUAUGCUUGUGCUGAUAGAGAAAAAGAAAAGGUUUGCUUCUAGCUGAGCCAAAGUUCCUAUUCAGCAUUUGUGAGUAGUCUGCUUACGGUUUGAUUGUAUUGGUUUUUGCUUGAUUUUCUGUUAACUAAUUGGGCAAUUUUCUUCUUAAUUAUUAAUUGACGUGACAAAACUUGCCUCCGUUUUGCAAAAAUAUAUAUUCCUAUUCAUAGUCUAUAAUUUUGACAAUGAGCGGGUUUCUUCCACUCCAUUUUUAGUUUUGCCUUUAGAUCAUUCCUCCACAGAACUGGAAAACCAUCGGGCCACGGCAGGGAUAGACAAGAAACUUAUCGGUCUGUUUACCGACAGGAGAUGCAGAGCUUCUGUUUUUUGACGGAAUGCAGAGCUUCUGUUCAUGCAUUUCUGAGAACGAAAGUAGUAGUAUGCAGACGAUACUCACUGGCCGAUCAUCACAAACACCAUGAGGAAGAGAAACGUUUUGAUCUUGAGACCCUCAGGACGCGUCUGGCCUGCGCAGCUCGUCCGUGCCAUGGGCGAAGUGGCACCUGCCGGCGAAGGCGCACGACCCACCGGCGAUGAAGCUCACGCACAGCCUGGUCUUGAAGCUGCUCCCGGGUCCCAUGGGUUUGCCGAGCUCGCGGUCGCCGUGCGCGAAGUGGCACCUGUCCCCCCACUUACACCCCUCCGGCGAGCCGUGGUUCUUGCAGAGCCGAGUCUUGACGGUGGCCGGUGCAGUGGCAGACAUGGGCGCCCGUGGUUGAGCCGGGUCGUCGCCUAGCUCCAGCUUGCUCAUCUUCUUGGUAACAGCCUGGUCGGGUUCCUGGUGUCCGCUGGGAACGCGAUGGAGGAAACGGCAGUCCUCGCCGAAGGGGCAGUCGCCGCCGCUGCGCAGUUGGCGAGAAAAACAGGAUCCACCGCGAGGAAUUACAUGAGAAAAAAUUAAUUAUACAGCUGCUGCAGCGAAAUCCUUUUUCGUAGAUAUGAAUUUUUGUUCACUGGUUUGUUAGCGCCACGACAUUCUUUUUUUGAGAAAAUUGAAAGGCAACAUAACAGGUAUGCUUGCGGAAUGCCAACCUGAAAAACCUGGUGCAGAUCUUGUCUAUCUUCUUCGAUUUGCUUCCGACACGCGUUCGAGGUGGCUCCGACCCUGUUACAUCAGAGGAAUGUUUGAAUCGCAUAAUCCAAAAAUGAAGAAAAAAAGCGCAGUUCCAUGAACCGCCAAUCAGGCGUGCUGUUCCAUAAAAAACAAACCUGUCAAACUAUUUUCUUCGAAAAAAAAGACACAAUUUGAAUGAGGCGGCCAUCUAAGGCAGAAGAAGAGUGAUGUACUCAUGUACUCCCUUCGCAAAGAAAUAUAAGAGCGUUUCUAAAAUUACAACACAGCACUGCCGGGAGGAGAAGAGACGCCGGCCGUACUCACCACCCCGCGGUUCCGACUCCCACGUGAGUGAUGCCGCCUCGACCUCCCUCUUGCAUGCGUGGAUGCCAGCGGGAAGCUUGUCGCGGCAGGCCUCACGAACAGAGAGCAUGGACUCCCUCGAGUAGGCGAUCCUCCUCUUCUCCUCCUCCCUGCGUACGUUAACUAGAACCCGUCACGAAUCACGCAUCAUAGACGCACAAGGCACAAUACAUGGGCACGUACAGAGCUGGUUACCUGCUGGGAGCAUCGGGGUCAGGGGUGGAGCUCAUCUCGACGGCGGACGGCGGACGGCGGAAGGAGCACAGCUUGUGUGAGCAACACUGCUAAGAUCCACAGCUUUAUUACGGCGAUCCCGAACCGGCCUAUAUAUGCACGCGUCAUGGACUCAUGGCCCCUGCGGCAACAAUAAUAAGUAAAUAAAUAAUAAAUGACCGGAACACGUGAGAAACACGGGAGGCCAGCAGACGGCGGCCGGCGCCCUCCCAGGGAGUGUUACGUUACGUUUACCGUGCCGUGCGUAUGUGCGCUGACUCAUCGAUGGGUGCGUGCGUGCGUACGUGCUCUGCUCACCUCGGGUGCAUGUCCCUUCUUGGCCUGCACUGUACUACGUCAGUGGCACGGGCUACGUUCCAUGAGGGAAAACGGUUUUGGAGGAAGAAUGAACCCUCGGAACUUACCUACGUGUUGCCGUUGAUAGAGGAGACCUGCAUGAUGGCUUCCACGGUGUUGUUUACACCCUAGAGCUAGAGAUACUCUCAUGUACGCGGAGUUGUUCUCCAGACCGUUGAUGGACGACCAAAUCGCUGCGAUUUUGGCCCUUUUUGGUUGGGAUGCUUCUAUCCUGCUGAUGCAGGACAACGGGGCCGAGGUGGAGGCGGGGCACCGAGCGCCCGGGUCGGUGGUUUGUGGGCCUUUUCUAUGGCGACACAACCAUACAAGCUGCUGGUGUGGAAUGUUAAGGGGCUCAACUCCCCGGCAAGGCGAAACGUGAUCUUCCAAGUCAUAGCAAGCGUGAGCCCGUUCAUCGUGUGUUUCUAGGAGACCAAACUGGAAGUUGUAUCCCCUAAAGUCAUUAGGCAUUGCCUGGGUAAUAGACUCAAGAGCUUCUUCUACCUCCCAGCCGUGGGCACGCGCAGUGGGACCUUGAUAGUAUGGGAUGUCACAGUGGUGGCGGUGUCCAACCCUCACCGGACUACGAACAUGCUUAUGGCUUUGGCGAAGCCGGUCGAGGGGACCGAAUGGUGGCUCACCGGUGUGUACAGGCCACAAGGCAACGCGGAGAAAGUGGAGUACAAGCAGGAACUUCUUGACGUUAGGGACUUGCACAUCGGCCCUUGGAUGGUAGCCGAAGAUUUCAGUCUCCUAGUGUAACACCCCGGAUGUAACUUUCUCAAUAUGUUUUCCAACUCUUGCCGUUUCCGGCUUUAAGUUAUUUUAUUUUCUCGGGUUCGGGUCUUUGUCUCUGUGUGUUGUUAUCGUUGUCAUGCAUCUCAUAUCAUGUCAUCAUGUGCAUUGCUUUUGCAUACGUGUUCAUCUCAUGCAUUCGAGCUUUUUCCCCGUUGUCCGUUUUGCAUUCCGGCGCUUCGUUCUCCUCCGGUGGUCAUUUCUACCUUUCUUUCGUGUGUGGGGAUUAAACAUUUCCGGAAUGGGCCGAGACUUGCCAAGCGGCCUUGGUUUACUACCGGUAGACCGCCUGUCAAGUUUCGUACCAUUUGGACUUCGUUUGAUACUCCAACGGUUAACCGAGGGACCGAUAAGGCCUCGUGUGUGCUGCAGCCCAACACCCCUCCAAUUUGGCCCAAAACCCACCAAAACCUUCCCCAUCAUCUAGAGCGUUCGAUCACGAUCGCGUGGCGAAAACCGCACCUCAUUUGGAGUCUCCUAGCUCUCUCUAUGCCUAUAAAUAGACCCCCUCCAAUUCGCGGAUCCCCUCUUCAAAACCCUAAAAUCCUAGAUCCGCCGCGCCGGACAAUGUCCGUCCCGGGCCGGACACACCGCGCCGCUGCGUCCAACCAGUGAGGGGCCUCCACCUGUCCCACGCGGGGCCUCCCUCCGCCGCCGGCCCGCGAGGCCCAAGGCGGGCCCUCCUCCGCCGCCGCCCGGGCCGAGCCGCCUNNNNNNNNNNNNNNNNNNNNNNNNNNNNNNNNNNNNNNNNNNNNNNNNNNNNNNNNNNNNNNNNNNNNNNNNNNNNNNNNNNNNNNNNNNNNNNNNNNNNNNNNNNNNNNNNNNNNNNNNNNNNNNNNNNNNNNNNNNNNNNNNNNNNNNNNNNNNNNNNNNNNNNNNNNNNNNNNNNNNNNNNNNNNNNNNNNNNNNNNNNNNNNNNNNNNNNNNNNNNNNNNNNNNNNNNNNNNNNNNNNNNNNNNNNNNNNNNNNNNNNNNNNNNNNNNNNNNNNNNNNNNNNNNNNNNNNNNNNNNNNNNNNNNGCCGGGGCCGUGCCCGACGGCCGCCGCCGCCGUCCCGUCCCUCCUCUCGCCGGCUCCGGCUUCCCCCGCGCCGGAGCGGCGCCUCCUCUUCGCCGGAGUAGGGAUCCUCACCGGCGACCUCUGAUUCCAUCGUGGGUGAACAGUGGAUCUCGCGGGUGAACAGUAAACCCUAAUCCGCGAGGUGGUUUUUUUCUUCUAAGUCCUCAAAAUCUCAGAUCCAUAUGCUCCUGUUCAUCGUGCUAUAACUCCGCAUCCGUAGUUCCGUUUUGGGCAUAUAGCAUAUCAAAAUGUUCGCCUCAGAGAGUACAUCAUUUCAUUCCAUUGCAUCAUUUUCAUUUGAGUUCAUCUUUAUGCCCGAAAUGCUGUUAGAAGAGUGCUACUUGAGAUAUUUGUCAGAUCUGCUACUCCAUUUAGAUUUUUGUCAUUUUUGCCAUGAUUAUUGUGUGCAUGAUAUGCCCAUGAGCUCUACAUAUGUUUUGUUAAGGGUUUUGCCAUCUUUCCAGAGGUGCAACCCAUGUAGUUUUGUGAUGUGUGUGGUGACUAGCACAAGCUUGCAAAGUGAGGCACUUGGUAAUGCUGAUUUCAGGAACUUAGCAUUUCCACUAAGUCCUUGAUCUGUUUAUCUCAUGUUGCCAUAUGUUCAUGUUGUUUCCUAGCGAUCCGUGCCUCUUUUGAGGAUGAUCAGUAAGGAUGUUUUGUUGAUCUUGUAGUGCUCUAUCCAUCCAUGUCUUUGUUUGAAAUUAUGGAGCACCCUAGCUUGAGUCAAUCGAGCUCUAUUUUUGCUACUUCGUGAAUCUGGGCAGAUUGUCUACUUGUUAGCAAUGUUGCCGAUGAUGUUGUAGUUAAUCCGUGCAUGCUAUGUUAUUGUUCUUGCUAUGUCUAGCUUGCAUUUUGUGUUUUCUUGAUGGGUGUAUGCUUAGAUUAUCAUGACUUGCUCCGUAGUGAGUGCAUCGAGCUCGUAAACAUGCCUACUUGAUAUCUGUUUUCAGCAUGCUCCAGUUUUCACUAAGUCCGAGAAUUGAUUAUGUUUUUGCCAUGUUCACAUGCUUGCAAUUGUAUUUUCUGAUCCCGUUUGGCUCAAGGUCACUAAGGGACUUUUGUUAAGCUCUUUGAGUAGCUUCAUGCCAUGCUUUACUUUGCCAUGUUCAGGUCCUGUAGCAUGUAGUUUUGUUGCUCCGAAGUGUGCUACCUGAUCUGAAAUUCCAGACAAGUGUUAAUUUCACUAAGUCUGAAAUCUGUUUGCCAUAUGCAAUUUUGCCAUGCUUGUUUGAACCUGUUAAUGGAUGAAUUGGCCGUAGCUCAGUGCUAGACUUUUGUUAAGCAUCAUGAAUGCAUCCCUGCCAUGUAUUUUGUUGUCAUGUUUGGGUGCUGUAGCUUGUUCAUCUCUUUGCAUUUAGAUGGCUACUUGCUGUAAAUCGCAGACCGGUGUCAUAUUUGAAUUGCUUGCCAUUUCCAAACCGUAACUCCGAUUCCGGCGUUCUUUAUAUCGUUUUCAAGCAAUUUCAUCUCAUAUUUCCAGUGGCACACUUGGAUUCCCAAGUUGAGGCCAGGUUCAUGCAUCCCUUGUCAAAUCUUGCACAUGCAUCCCGCAUCGCAUCCCGCAUAGCAUACCAUCCUUGCAUCAUAUUGUUUGAUCCUUGCACGUGGUUGAUUGUGUCCUUGUUGCUUGUUUGUCUUGUUUGGGUAGAUCCGGGAGACGAGUUCGCUAACGAGGAGCCCGUUGAGUUUGCUUUCGAGGAUCCAGUCAACUCUGACCAUUUUGCAGGCAAGAUGAUCAUACCCUCGAAAUCACUACUAUCUUUGCUAUGCUAGAUUGCUCGCUCUUUUGCUAUGCCAAUGCUACGAUGCCUACCACUUGCUUUCAAGCCUCCCAAAUUACCAUGUCAAACCUCUAACCCACCUUGUCCUAGCAUACCGUUGAUUGGCUAUGUUACCGGUUUGCUCAGCCUCUCUUAUAGCGUUGCUAGUUACAGGUGAAGAUUGGAGACCGUUCCUUGUUGGAACAUUUAUUUACUUGUUGGGAUAUCAUUAUAUUAUCUUGUUAUCUUAAUGCAUCUAUACACUUGGUAAAGGGUGGAAGGCUUGGCCUCUCGCCUAGUGUUUUGUUCCACUCUUGCCGCCCUAGUUUCCGUCAUAUCGGUGUUAUGUUCCCGGAUUUUUGCGUUCCUUACGCGGUUGGGUUAUAAUGGGAACCCCUUGAUAGUUCACCUUGAUUAAAGCUUUUCCAGCCAUGCCCAACCUUGGUUUUACCAUUUGCCUCCUAGCCUCUUUUUCCCUUGGGUUUUCGGAGCCCGAGGGUCAUCUUAUUUUAAACCCCCCCGGGCCAGUGCUCCUCUGAGUGUUGGUCCACCUGUCAGCUGCCGGUGGCCACCAGGGGAAACUCUGGGCUGCCCUACCCGUACCUAGGACAAUCUGAGUGUGCCCUGAGAAAGAGAUAUGUGCAGCUCCUAUCGGGCUUUGUCGGCACAUUCAGGCGGUGUUGCUGGAUUAGUUUUAACCUGUCGAAGUAUCUUGAAGAACCGAGAUAUCGAGUCUGAUCGGAACGUCUCGGGAGGAGGUCUAUUCCUUCAUUGACCGUGAGAGCUUGUCAUGGGCUAAGUUGGGACUCCCCUGCAGGGAUUUGAACUUUCGAAAACCAUGCCCGCGGUUAUGGGCAGAUGGGAAUUUGUUAAUGUCCGGUUGUAGAUAACUUGAACCUUAACUUAAUUAAAAUGAAUCAACUGAGUGUGUUACCGUGAUGGCCUCUUCUCGGCGGAGUCCGGGAAGUGGACACAGUGUUGGAGUAAUGCUUGCGCAGGUUGCUCUCUAGUUUCUCGCUCGCGCUUUGCCUCCUCUUCUCGCUCUCUUUUGCGAACAAGAUAGCCACCAUAUUUGCUAGUCGCUUGCUGCAACUCCACAUAUUUACCUUGCCUUACCUAUAAGCUUAAAUAGUCUUGAUCGCAAGGGUGCAAGAUUGCCGAGUCCUUGUGGCUCACAGAUUACUAUGACACCAGAUGCAGGGCUUGAUGAUUCCGCUCCAGGUUACGCGCUCGAGCUCAAGUGGGAGUUCGACAAGGACUCUCAACGAUACUAUGUUUCCUUUCCUGAUGAUCAGUAGUGGUGCUAGUUGGGGGUGAUUGGGACCGUGUCGCAUGUUGGGUUAUCUUUUAUUUUGGCGCCGUAGUCGGGCCAUGAGUGUUUGGAUGAUGUAAUGUUAUUUUUGUACCUUGUUUGACGUGGCGAGUGUAAGCCAACUAUGUUAUCUCCCCUUUAUUAUUUAUAUUACAUGGGAUGUUGUGAAGAUUGCCUAAUUUGCGACAUAUGCCUUCAAUGCGAUUAUGCCUCUAAGUCGUGCCUCGACACGUGGGAGAUAUAGUCGCAUCAAGGGUGUUACACCUAGUUAACCCCGAAGACAAGAGCAACGAUGCGGUGAAUCAUAGAAUGAUGGCUAGGUUCCAGGCGCGGCUCACUCGCCUUGAACUUAAGGAGCUAUGCCUAAACGGGAGGAGAUUCACAUGGUCGAACGAGUGACAACGCCCCACUCCUGAGAAGAUUGACCAUGUCUUCGUGUCUAGUUGCUGGGAGGAUCUGCACCUGACGUGCCUUCUCACUGCCCUUGGGUCGGCGGUGUUGGACCACACCCCUCCCGUUAGACCUAAAUGCGGAUAUUAUGGUGGGCAAACAAUUCCGUUUCGAAGCCUUCUAGCCCAAGGCAGAGGGGUUCUUCGAGACCGUUGAGAUGGCUUGGCACUCAGUGCCUGGAAUGGGGAAUGCAUUCACGGCUCUGGACAACAACCUGAGGGCCACCUCCAAGGCUUUGCAAAGGUGGAGUGACCGGUGGAUUGGCAACAUGAAGUUGCAAACCUUGAUCGCCCUUGAGGUCAUUGCGAGGCUCGAUCAAGGCAUGGAUAACAGGGAGCUCUUAGUGAGGGAGCAUGGCCUGCACAAAGUUUUGAAGUAGAAGCUGCUCGGGCUUACGUCGCUGCAACGCAUGGUUGUGCGCCUGCGAUCACGGAUGCUGCAACCCAACAAGGGCGAGGCGAACACAACGUACUUCCACCGGCAGGCGUGUCACCGGCAGUGGCGCAAUGCCAUCAUGUCCUUGCAAUCUAUUGAGCAAGUACUGGCAGGCCAGGAAGAGAUGCCGAGGCAGUGGACAACUACUACUCGAGGCUAUUUGGGUCGGCCCUACAUUGGGCCUUCGCGCUGAACUUGGAUACAUUGGGCCCGCCCAUACGUGAUCUUGCACACCUUGAGGCCCCUUUCUCCUGUGAGGAGGUCAAGAAAAUUGUGAAGGGGAUACCACUUGACAAAGUGCCGGCGUCGGACGGGUUCACGGGCCGAUUCUGUGCUUCAUGAUGGCACAUAAUAAAGGACGACCUUAUGCGGGUAUUGGAGCACUUCUUUCGGGGUGACAUGCGUGGCUUGCCCGCAAUCAACAAGGCCCUCGUUUUUCUCCUACCUAAAGUGGUUGGGGUGGUUGAACUCAAGGACUACCGGCCUAUGAGCCUCGCCCACGAUGCAAUCAAGAUCUUUGAAAAGGUCCUGGCGACACGGUUGGCUGCGGAGCUACCACAUCUGGUGGGGAACCUGAAGGAAAUAUGCCCUAGAGGCAAUAAUAAAGUUGUUAUUUAUAUUUCCUUAUAUCAUGAUAAAUGUUUAUUAUUCAUGCUAGAAUUGUAUUAUCCGGAAACUUGAUACAUGUGUGAAUACAUAGAAAAAACAGAGUGUCCCUAGUAUGCCUCUACUUGACUAGCUCGUUAAUCAAAGAUGGUUAAGUUUCCUGACCAUAGACAUGUGUUGUCAUUUCAUGAAUGGGAUCACAUCAUUAGGAGAAUGAUGUGAUGGACAAGACCCACCCGUUAGCUUAGCAUAAUGAUCGUUAAGUUUUAUUGCUAUUGCUUUCUUCACGACUUAUACAUAUUCCUUUGACUAUGAGAUUAUGCAACUCCCGAAUACCGGAGGAACACCUUGUGUGCUAUCAAACGUCACAAUGUAACUGGGUGAUUAUGAAGAUGCUCUACAGGUGUCUCCGAAGGUGUUUGUUGGGUUGGCAUAGAUCGAGAUUAGGAUUUGUCACUCUGAGUAUCGAAGAGGUAUCUCUGGGCCCUCUCGGUAAUGCCCAUCACGAUAAGCUUUGCAAGCAAUGUGACUAAUGAGUUAGUUGCGGGAUGAUGCAUUAUGGAACGAGUAAAGAGACUUGCCGGUAACGAGAUUGAACUAGAUAUGAAGAUACAGAUCGAAUCUCGGGCAAGUAACAUACCGAUGACAAAGGGAAUGACGUAUGUUGUCAUUGCGGUUUGACCGAUAAAGAUCUUUGUAGAAUAUGUAGGAACCAAUAUGAGCAACCAGGUUCCACUAUUGGUUAUUGAUCGGAGAUGUGUCUCGGUCAUGUCUACAUAGUUCUCGAACCCGUAGGGUCUGCACGCUUAACGUUCGGUGACGAUUUGUAUUAUGUGUUAUGUGUUUUGGUGACCGAAGAUUGUUCGGAGUCCCGGAUGAGAUCACGGAUAUGACGAGGAGUCUCGAAAUGGUCGAGAGGUAAAGAUUGAUAUAUUGGACGAUAGUAUUCGGACACUGAUAACCCACAAGUACAGGGGAUCGCAACAGUUUUUGAGGGUAGGGUAUUCAACCCAAAUUUAUAGAUUCGACACAAGGGGAGCCAAAGAAUAUUUGAAGGUAUUAGCAACUGAGUUGUCAAUUCAACCACACCUGGAGAUUAAUUAUCUGCAGCGAAGUGAUCAGUAGCAAAGUAGUAUGAUAGUUUUGAUAAUAGUAGCAACAACAACGGCAGUGAUAGCAGUAGUUUUGUAACAAGCGCAACAUCAAAGAUAUCAGUAAUAACUUAGCAAGAACAAUAUAAGAUAAAUUCAUAGGCAUUGGAUCAGUGACUUGUUGGAUGAUAUUCAUCAUGAGACAGUUUUAACCUAGGUCGAUACGACACUAGCUCCAGUUCGUCAAUAUAAUGUAGGCAUGUAUUCCGUAAAUAGUCAUACGUGCUUAUGGAAAGAACUUGCAUGACAUCUUUUGUCCUACCCUCCCGUGGCAGCGAGGUCCUAUUGGAAACUAAGGGAUAUUAAGUCCUCCUUUUAAUAGAGAACCGAAACGAAGCAUUAACACAUAGUGAAUACAUGAACUCCUCAAACUACGGUCAUCACCAGGAGUGGUCCUGACUAUUGUCACUCCGGGGUUGCCGGAUCAUAACACGUAGUAGGUGACUAUAACUUGCAAGAUCGGAUCUAGAACAUGGAUAUAAUGGUGAUAACAUAAACGGUUCAGAUCUGAGUUCAUGGAACCCGGGCCCAAAGUGACAAGCAUUAAGCAUGGCAAAGUCAUAACAACAUUAAUCUUAGAACAUAGUGGAUACUAGGGAUCAAGCCCUAACAAAACUAACUCGAUUACAUGAUGAAUCUCAUCCAACUCCUCACCGACCAGCGAGCCUACGAAGGAAUUACUCACUUCUGGUGGGGAGCAUCAUGGAAUUGGCGAUGGAGAAGGGGUGGUGAUGAUGAAGAACGAAGACCCCCCUCUCCGGAGCCCCAAACAGACUCUAGAUCCGACCUCCCGAUGAAGAACAGGAGGUGACGACGGCUCCAUCUUGUGGAUCAUGAUAAUUCUUUCUCCCUGAUUUUUAUAUGAAAAAUAGGUAUUUAUGGAGUUGGAAUCAGGGUCUGCGGGGCCACCAGGUGGGGACAACCCACCUGGGCGCGCCAGGAGGGGGGGCUGGUGGGUUGUGCCCACCCAGGUGCCCCCUCCGGUGGAUCUUGGCUCCAGAAAUUCUUGUUUAUAGUAUAAGAAAUCCUCGCAAAGUUUCGUUUCAUUCCGUGAACUUUUAUUUCUGCACAAAAACAACACCAUGGUAGUACUGCUGAAAACAAUGUCAGUCCGGGGUUAGUUUCAUGCACAUUAUCGUCCAAAACAAGAGGAAAAGCGUUAGGAAAAGUAAAUACGUUGGAGACGUAUCAACUCCUCCAAGCUUAAACCUUUUCUUGUCCUCAAGCAAUUCAGUUGAUAAACUGAAAGUGAAAAAGAAAAACUUUUACAAACUCUUUUGCUCUUAUUUGCAUAAAUAAGCUUAAACAACACCCAAGUUUUCAGCCAACAUUAUAACUAACCAUGUCGACAAUAACUCUUAAAGAUUAUAUUAACUCAUAUCAAUGACAUAAUCAGCUAGCGAGCAAUAAUAAGAUAUCUCAAACGGCAACACGUUGUCAAAACAACCAUGAUAUAAUAUUAGAAUAGUGGUAUCUCGCUAGCCCUUUCUGAGACCGCAAAACAUAAAUGCAGAGCACCUCCAAAGUUCAAGCAGCGACUAAACAUUGUAAUUCAUGGUAGAAAAGAUCCAUUCAUGAUGCACCCAACAUUAGCUACACACAAUGCAUAAGUCAUGACAGUAGUGCUCUCAGGUUCUAGCGCUUGUUUUAGAAGGUGAUGACACAACGUAAAAGUAAACAGAUAGUCCCUUCGCGAAGGGAAGCAGUGAUUUGCAGAGGUGCCAGAGCUCAAGUUUUUAACCAGAGAUAAAUGAUAUUUUGAGACAUGCACCCUUCUCAUUUACUUCACAACCAUCAGUUAUCAAUAUCUUCCAUGCUUAGCACGCUAGUGGCGGUUCCCAAGUGAUAAAAGUAAAGGUUUUGACUCCAUUGGGAGUUUUUGUUUGAUUAUUUGUAAGCUUUUUCUGUUUGGAGUUUGGGACCGGGCAUCCCUAUUACUGUCCUUUUCUCGUGUGAUGGCAAGUGAAUAAACACUCGACCUGAGAAUAACCCGCUUAGCAUGGAAGAUACCGACCACCUCCUGUCGUUCCAUGAAUGAUCCAGGCACACAAAAGGGAUAUUUAUUAGAAGUUUUUAGAGGUGGCACAUGCAAAUUUACUUAGGACGGCAGGGUAAUACCGCAUAUAGGUAGGUAUGGUGGACUCAUCUAGAAUAAAUUUUGGGUUCAAGGUUUUUAAUGUACAAGCAUAACUCCCACUUAGUACAGGCGAAGGCUAGCAGUUAGGUUGAGAAGCGGCCAGCUAGAGAGAAACAACGGUCAUGAACAUGCAUUAUGCAUAAGUAACGUUGGACACUAGCAUGAGUAGGAUAUGAGUACCAUGAACAUAAAUAUCAUAGAGGCUAUGUUGGUUUUGAUUCAACUACAUGCAUGAACAUGUGCCAAGUCAAGCCACUCGAACAUUCAGAGGAGGAUACCAUAUCAUCAUACUACAUCACAAUCAUUUUAACGCAAUGUUGAUAUCCAAGAUAAAUCAUUAUUCACUCCUAGCUACUUAUGCAUGGCAUGAGAAACUAUAAUCUCUAAUUGUCAUUGCAAAUAUAUUUAAUCAUAAUGGGCUAAAUCAUGGAUACUAGGUUAAACAUAUUUACACAAACAGAACAAGUCGAGUUCAUACCCAUUUCUCUCUGCCACAACCAGUUCAUCGAAUAUCGUCAUUAUUGCCUUUCACUUGCACGACCGAAUGAUAUGGAAAUAAUAAUAGUGCAAGAGUGCCGUGGAAUAAGCUGGAAUCUGCAAAACAUUUUAUUCAACAAGAGAAGGCAAGGUAAAGCGGGCUCUUUAUUAGAUCAACAAUUAUUCAUAUGAGAGCCACUCAACAUUUUCAUCGUGGUCUUCUCCUCGGUAAGACUCGAAUAAAAAGAAAAUAAAUUCAGAGAAACACACUGAAAUAAUUUUGGAGUUUUUGGUUUUCUUGAACAAGCAAAUAAAAGGGAAAAGCAAAAACAAGAAAAACUAUUUACACGGGAAAGCUCCCAACAAGCAAAAGAAGAACAAGGAAAUCUUUUUGGGUUUUCUUUUUAGUGCUACUACUAAGCAUGCAUAGAAAGUAAACUAACUACAACUAUUUUUUUGGUUUUUCUAAAGUUUUCCAAACACACAAGAAGAAAGAAAGAAAAUAAAUUUAAGCAUGGAUGAUACAAUGAAAAAGUGUGAACACCGACAGAUGAAAAUAAGUGAGCAUGAAUGUAAUGUCGGUGAGAAAUACGUACUCCCCCAAGCUUAGGCUUUUGGCAUAACUUGGUAAUCGAUCAGUAGCCUGGAUAGUAGUUGGCGUGGUAGCUCACGGAGGCUCUCGGUGAGAAUGCCUCAGCCUGCUGUGCUGCCUCCACUGCCGCGUUGUGAGCUGGGGCCUCGCUCUCAGGGACAAAGUAUCUUCCUUUGUUAUCUGAAAUGUAGGGACCGAGACCGUCAUUGUGAAAAUAUUGCUCCAAUUCCUCCUUAAUGCCCACAUGCAUCAUAUAGUCAUCGCAGGGCCAUAAGCAUGUUUUGGUGGUGGCAUCUCAUGUGGAACUUUCACUUGGUUCAACAUAAGACCGGCGAGCGGAGCUGUCACUAGAAGAUGCCCCCGAGGAUCGCCUCCUCUAAGAACUCCUUCCAAAAAGGUUCAUCGUGUUCACGUACAAUUUUCUGAAAAUUUUUGAGUAACAAAAAUUUAUCAACAAAACUUUACAAGAUUGAUAGCAACUACUCAUAGGGAUACAUAGAGGCCAUAGAGAGCAUUCAAACUACUUAGAACUCUAAGAAUUCAACAUGCAAGCUCAUCUACAGCAGCACCAAGAGUAGCUAAUUAUCCAAAAUAUAAACCACUAAAACAAAAACUAAUUGGACAAACGGUGGAGUCACAUACCAAGCAACAAUCCCCCGAAAUAGUUUAGAAAAUGGAGCUUCUAGCAAAGAGAUCAAAAUCCGUGGGUUUGAGAGCAAGAACAGGGGAGAGAGAGCAAUGGAGAAUUUUUUCUGGAGGUAAGUGACGAUUUGGUGUGAAGAGAUAAGUGAGAGGGCCCGCGUGGGGACCACAACCCACCAGGGCGCGCCUGGGGGUCCUGGCGCGCCCAGGUGGGUUGUGCCCACCUGGUGCACCUCCCUCUGAUGUUAUUUGCACUAGAAAUUCAGAAAUAUUCGAAAAAAAUCGUAUUAAAUUUUCAGAGCAUUCUGAGAACUUUUAUUUUUGGAUCAUUUUUUAUUGCACGGAAAAUUCAUAAAACAGACAAACACAUGGCAUUUUAUUUUAUUUAACUAAUAAAACAGGAAACAAAAAGUAGCGACAUAAGGUAGUGCUUACUAAAUUCAUCAACUUCAUACCUCUAAAAAAUGAUCCAUUAAUAAGGUUGAUCAAGUCUUAUUAACAACCACUUUCGAUUAGCAUGAAACCGAAGAACUGUCCUAAAUCACUAAGUUACCUCAAUGGGGAUAUGAAUGUCCCCAACAAUAAGCAUUUCAUAUUUAUUUUUGACAGCAGGUAGAGGUAUUUGAAAACUUCCAGUAGUGAUUGUCUGAGAUUUUUCAAUAACAUUAAUACCAUUCACUUGGAAUUGUUUCUUUGGAAAGUGUACCCUAUGCUCAUUACCAUUGAUAUGAAAUGUGACCUUGCUUUUAUUGCAAUCAAUAACAGACCCUGCAGUAUUCAAGAAGGGUCUACCAAGGAUAAUCAACAUGUUGUUGUACUCGGGCAUCUCAAGUAUAACAAAGUCGAUCAAAAUAGUAACAUUAGCAACAACAACGGGCACAUCCUCACAGAUACCAAUAGGUAUGACAGUUUAUUUGUCAGUGAAAGGAUCGAGAAGAGGUGUCUAGAGGGGGGUGAAUAGACUCUUAGCAAGAAAAGUUGCUGUUUUUAAUUUAUUUAAGUUGAAGUGGAUUUUUGGCACAAGUUUAAACAUUCACAAUACAUAUCAAGCAAGCAUGACAAGAGUAUAUGAGCAGCGAAAAGUAAAUCAUGCAAGUUGCAAGGAUGUAAAGGGAUGGGAUUGGAGUGUGCAAAUGCAAUUGGAGACAUGAAGAUUUUUCGCGUGGUUCUGAUAGGUGAUGCUAUCGUACAUCCACGUUGAUGGAGACUUCAACCCACGAAGGAUAACGGUUGCGCGAGUCCAUGGAGGGCUCCACCCAUGAAGGGUCCACAAAGAAGCAACCUUGUCUAUCCCACCAUGGCCAUUGCCCACGAAGGACUUGCCUCACUAGGGUAGAUCUUCACGAAGUAGGCGAUCUCCUUGCCCGUACAAACUCCUUGGUUCAACUCCACAAUCUUGACGGAGGCUCCCAAGUGACACCUAACCAAUCUAGGAGAGACCACUCUCCAAAAGGUAAUAGAUGGUGUGUUGAUGAUGAACUCCUUGCUCUUGUGCUUCAAGUGAUAGUCUCCUCAACACUCAAGUCUCUCUCAUAGGAUUUGAUUUGGUAGAAAGAUGAUUUGAGUGGAAAGCAACUUGAGGAAGGCUAGAGAUCAAGAUUUAGGUUGUUGGAAUGGAAUAUCUUGACCUCAACACAAGUGUAGGUGGUUCUCUCUCAAAAAAUGUAUGUUAGAAGUGUAGGCAUGUUCUGAUGGCUCUCUCCACGAAUGAAGAGUGGGUGGAGGGGUAUAUAUAGCCUCCACACAAAAUCUAACCGUUACGCACAAAUCACCAAACUCGGUGGGACCGAAUCAUAUAACUCGGUCAGACCGAUUUAGUUCAAAAUGUGAACAUUAGGAUUUUCGGUGGGACCGGUAUGAUCAACUCGGUGGGACCGAUGUGUUAGGGUUAGGGUAAAGCCUUAUCUCGGUUGGACCGAUUACACAAACUUGGUGGGACCGAUUUGUGUAAUAAGCAAAACAGAGAGUUGGCCAAGCAAACUCGGUGGGACCGACUUCAUAUUUCGGUGAGACUGAAAUUAAUGCAAUAGGUAACAGAGAGUUUGCAAGACCAUCUCGGUGAGACCGAGAUCCCAUCGGUGAGAUCGGAUUGAUUAGGGUUUCUCGCAGUGGCUAUGUCAAGAGAACUCGGUGGCGCCGGGUUUGACUUUUGGUUUGGGACAAAUGUGGAUGUGAGAAAGUGUUUGAGGGUUUUGGAGCAUAUCACUAAGCACUUUGAGCAAGCAAGCCAUUAAGCAACACCUCAUCCUCUCUUAAUAGUAUUGGCUAUCAUUUGUCUUCAUCAUCUUGAAGGGGUCCCACAUCCUCUAGUCCAUGCCACUCCACUGUUGGACUUAUCUGAAAUAUGCUAGAUGAAAGUAUUAGUACAACAAGAGAUAUUUUGACAUGAAUUACCAAAAUCACCCAGGGAGCACUUGUGCUUUCAGUAUCCCCCUUUUUGGUAAUUGAUGACAACAUACAUCAAAGCUUUAGAUAAAGAUAUAGAGAAUAACAAGUAAAGCUUUGGUAAGACAUGUAACAUGCAUAGGCUCCCCCUAUAUGUAUGCAAUCAUGUAAAUAUGGAAUAUAGGAGCAUGUGAAUGCAUAGCAUGAAAAAGUAAGCAAUGUGUUACAUGUAUCUUGGCUAUAUGCAUCAGAGCAAAAGAUGUAAAUAUAGGAAAUGUACCUACAUGCUCAUGAGUCUUUCUUGCAAACAAUAUGUACAUCAGCAAUAAGUCCUCAUGCACAUGAGUGUGAUGCAUAUACUUACCUUGUGGUCUUGAGUUGGCUUAGGAGGAAAUGAACCUGAGCAAACAAGGUUAGAUAACACAGAUACGACUCCAAGCCAGAGCAAACAAAAGAAACCACAAGAGUACCAAGACUGGGAUGACAUGUAGUGAGUGAGUACUGAGUACUCUAUUUGAUAUAGACAUGCUCCCAAAAGGUAAAGAUAUGCAAUGAAUUGAAUUCACGGAUUUCCUUCCCUAGCAGUCUUUCUCCCCCUAAAUCUUGUAUUGGAUAAUGGGAGAACACAGGGAAAUAAAAAUCAGAGCAAAACAGAUCAUAACUGUAACAUAGACAUGUCUUUCCCCUCUUAAAGACAUGUGACUUCUCUCCUCUUGAAUACCAAGCAUCUAGGGCCUUUGAUGGUCUUUCCCCUCUUAAAGACAUGUGACUUCUCUCCUAUUGAAUACCAAGCAUCUGGGGCCUUUGAUGUGAUUACCUCUCUCUCCCUUUUUAUCUUUCUCCCCCUAUUGAAGAGAAUAAGCUUUGAUGUGAUCUCUCUCGCCCCUUUGACAUCAAUUUCCAAGAAGGGAUGUUCUGGAGUGUGAGUCAAAUAGGUUUGGUCCUUGAGUCACAAAGCAAAGCAGCAUAUAGAUUGUGAUGCUGGUAGAGGACAAGAAUCAUCGACUGGAGCUGGAGUAAAACUAUAGGAACAAAUGGCAAAUUGUCUUCUCUGCAGUGAAAUCGGUGAUACCGAGUUAUAGUUUUCGGUGGCACCGAGUUGGUUCGGUGUGACCGAAAGCAAUAGAUCGGUAUGACUGAGUCCAACAUAGAGAGAACACUUAUCACCUCAGCUCACUAGGCAAAAUAAGAUCUCACAAAGAUUUGCAAGGAAUUAACUGAAAGAUUUUCAAGGAAUUGGAUGCAGGGAAAUGCAGGACUCCAACAAAGAAAAGAAAAUCUAGAUGAAGUAUGCAACAACUCAAGAAAACACUGGAGAACUUCAUCUAGAAUUGGGCGGUGACAAAGUCACCUAUGUUAGAGUACAUUGACUGAGCAGUCAAGUUAGAACACUUGAUCGUAAGUCAUACUCAUCGUUUAAGCUCAAAAUGGGGUUACCAUUUUUUGUUUAAGCAUUUGAUGUAUUCACAUCUUGUUGAGUUGCUUUGACUUAUGACUUGAGGUAAAGCUUCUCUAAGAUGGAAUGACAUACCAUGGGUGGUGGUGUUGAUCUUGAUCAUGUAGUUGAACUUGCGUGGGGUGCUCAAAGUUGAUGUAGUGCAAGUAUGGUUGGGAGCACCACUUGGAGUUGAGUUCAUCUACCUACAUGGGUUAGUUUUGCAAGGAAGAGCACUUGUGUAUCCAAAAUGACAAUCAUGAAAUUUGAUACCAAAUGAAAUUUGAUACAUAGCAUUUGCAUGUAUCCAAAUGGAGUUCCUACUCCAAGUUUGAAGCAUCAAUGAUGUUCAAUUCACCUCUCAAACGGCAAAAGACUUUCUCAUCAAGCGGUUUGGUGAAUAUAUCCACCAAUUGCUUAUCAGUACGGACAUGUUUAAGAUCAAUAUCCCCUUUAGCAACAUGAUCUCGAAUGAAAUGGUAACGAACUUCAAUAUGCUUAGUUCGAGAAUGUUGCACGGGAUUGUGAGCAAUCUUAAUAGCACUCUCAUUGUCACAAAGCAAUGGAACAUGUUUCACAUUGAUCCCAUAAUCUUUAAGAGUUUGGGUCAUCCAAAGUAAUUGAGCACAACAUGAACCGGCGGCAAUGUAUUCUGCUUCGGUGGUGGAUAAGGAUACCGAGUUUUGUUUCUUGGAAGACCAAGACACAAGAGAUCUACCAAGAAAUUGACAAGUACCCGAAGUGGACUUUCUAUCAACCUUGUCUCCGGCAUAGUCAGAGUCAAAAUAGCCAACAAGAUCAAAAGAGGACCUCUUGGGAUACCAAAUGCCAAAAUUUGGUGUAUGUAUUAAGUAUCUCACUAUCCUUUUCACACUUUAAGAUGACAUUCUUUAGGGACCGCUUGAUAUCAUGCACACACUUAGCAUAAUAUCGGGACGAGAGGCACAUAGAUAUAACACUGAUCCAAUCAUAGAGCGAUAAACCUUUUGAUCAACCGGUUUACCAUCCUUAGUCAAAUCAAGAUGUCCACUAGUAGGCAUGGGAGUUUUCAUACCUUUCAUUUCUUGCAUGUUGAACUUCUUGAAUAAGUCCUUGGUGUACUUUGUUUGAGAGACAAAGGUGCCUUCCUUAGUUUGCUUGAUUUGCAAACCAAGAAAGAACUUGAGUUCACUCAUCAUAGACAUCUCAAACUUCUCCGACACUAGUUUUCGAAAAUUCUCACUAAAAUGAGGGUUAGUUGAGCCAAAUAUGAUAUCAUCAACAUAAAUUUGGCAUACAAAUAAUUCAUCAUUAACCCUUUUAGUAAAAAGAGUAGAAUCUAUCUUUCCAAUCUCAAAGCCUUUUUCAAUAAGGAACUUGGUAAAGCAUUUAUACCAUGCUCUAGGAGCUUGUUUAAGACCAUAAAGAGCUUUGUGAAGUUUGUAAACAUGAUUGGGUUUAUUAGGAUUGAUGAAGCCGAGAGGUUGCUUAACAUAAACCUCCUCCUCAAUCUCACCGUUUAGAAAAGCACUCUUAAUGUCCAUUUGGUAUAAAGUGAUAUCAUGGUGAUUAUCAUAGGAAAGUAAGAUGCGGAUGGACUCAAGUCUAGCAACGGGGGCAUAUGUCUCACCGUAGUCCAUACCUUCGACUUGAGUGUAGCCUUGGGCGACGAGAUGAGCUUUGUUGCAGACUACUUGACCAUCUUCAUCUUGCUUGUUGUGAAACACCCAUUUGGUACCAAUGAUGUUGUGGUUGUUGUCGUGCUUCUCGACCAAUGUCCACACUUGGUUUCUCUCAAAGUUGUGUAGCUCAUCAUGCAUGACAUUUAUCCAAUCCGGAUCUUCCAAUUCUUCUUCAACCUUCAUAGGUUCAAUGCUAGAGAUGAAUGAAUAAUGUUCACAAAAAUUAGCCAAACGAGAUUUAGAGCGAGUGAUUCUCCUGGUUUGGAUAUUAUUGUAGAUUUGCUCGACGGGAUGGUCUCUAGCGACUCUUGCUCGAACUCGUGAGAGCUUUUGUUUUGCUUGGGGUGGAACAUCGUCUUCAUCAUCUCGUUCUUCUUCUUGGACUUCUUCAUUAUUGGCGUUGUUGUUCUCUUGUCGUGGUGGAGAAGGAGGUUGAUGAGGUUCAUCUUGGUGUACUUCCUCGUUUUAUUCAUAUUGGUGUGUCCCACUCGUGGAUGCUUCCAUGUCGACUCUUGGUUCACCUUGUCGUGAGGUAGAAGCUUCCCCUUGGACGGACGAGGUACUAUCCUUCACCUCCGUUGGACGGAUCUUGCCAAUAGACAGGUCUUGGAUUGCUUCCGAAGGAUCUUUAUCUCCUACAUCAAUUGGAAAUUACUCUACUUGCGAGCCGUUAGAUUCAUCAAACUUCACAUCUACCGUUUCUUCAACCUUUCGGGUGAAAUUGUUGUAGACACGGUAAGUGCGAGAGUUUGAGCCAUAACCAAGUAGGAAACCUUCGUGAGAUUUAGGAGCAAAUUUAGAACGACGAUGCUUAUCAAGAAUGUAACACUUUGUGCCAAAUACUCGAAAGUAUCCAACUUGGGGUUUGUUACUGUUGAGAAGUUCGUAUGCUGUCUUGCCGAGUAGCUUGUGAAGAUACAAGCGAUUUGUCGCAUGACAAGCUGUCUCAACGGCUUCCGCCCAAAAGUGCUUUGGAGUCUUGUACUCAUCAAGCAUCGUUCUCGCCAUAUCAAUAAGAGUUCGGUUCUUCCUCUCAACAACUCCAUUUUGUUGAGGCGUGUACGUAGCCGAGAACUCAUGUGAAAUCCCUUCUUCGUCAAGAAAGGUAUCCACAUUUGCGUUCUUGAACUCCGUUCCGUUGUCACUGCGAACCUUCUUGAUCUUCACUUCAAAUUGAUUUUGGGCCUUCCUAGCAAAGUUCUUGAAGAUCUUUUGGACCUGCGAUUUAUCAUCAAAAAGAACACCCAUGUAAAUCUUGAAAAAUCAUCAACUAUAACUAGACCGAAUGAGUUACCACCGAGACUCUUAUAGGCAUUGGGACCAAAAAGAUCCAUAUGAAGUAGCUCGAACGGUCUUCUUGUGGUCAUAAUGUCCUUCACGGGGUGGCUUCCUCCAACUUGUUUUCCCGCUUUACAAGCACUACAAAGUCUAUCCUUGUCAAAUAUAACAUCUUUUACUCCAAGGAUAUGAUCACCUUUAAUAAGCUUAUCAAGAUUUCGCAUGCCCACAUGACCUAACCUUCUAUGCCACAACCAACCUUUUGAGGAUUUAGCAAUUAGGCAAGUUCUAGGUUGAGCCUUCUUAGUGAAAUCAACAAUGUAAAGAUCACAUCUAUGUGUAAUGGUAAAGACCAUUUUAUGGUUAUCUCUACGAAACACUUGGCAAUCUACUUCAGUAAAUAGGACAUUGAAACCAAAGUCAGCAAGUCUAGAUAUGGAAAGUAAAUUGUAGCCAAGAGAUUCAACAGGCAUAACAUUUUGUAUGGAGCUAUCAUGAGAGAUGUCCACCUUACCAAGGCCAACCACCUCACCCUUUGAGUUAUCACCAAAAGUGACAUACUUUUGAGGGCCGUCGUUUUCAGCAAGCUCACGAAACAUAUCUUUGUCUCCGGUCAUAUGAUCGGUACACUUUGUAUGGAGCUAUCAUGAGAGAUGUCCACCUUACCAAGGCCAACCACCUCACCCUUUGAGUUAUCACCAAAAGUGACAUACUUUUGAGGGCCGUCGUUUUCAGCAAGCUCACGAAACAUAUCUUUGUCUCCGGUCAUAUGAUCGGUACACCCACUAUCAAGAACCCAUUCCUUUCCUCCGUCCAUGUAGCCGCGAAGAUUAGCCAUAAGACCAAAGUGCUCAUUGCAUCAUCAAGAUCAUAGUCACUAUCAUCAUCCUCAUCGUAGUAUCCAUGUUCAACAUCGUCAUGUGGUGGAUCAAUUCCUAGAGAGAGUGAUUCAUUAGAAGUAUGACCGUAACAAUGUUCAUCUCUAUGAAUUCUAAUGACUUCGGAAAUGAUAUUACUAAUGAUUCCAACAUCUCCUUUGGCACUCGUAAAAUUAGUAAGCUCAAAUAAGCAAUCACCAAAUUUGGGAUCAUUGGAACUCAUCUUACUCAAGGCAAUAGACUUAUGAAAAAUCUCAUCUAGAUUUUUCAAGGAAUAGUUUGGGAACCGUUCCUCAAGAAAUUUCCAUAAGGUGUAGGCACAAUCAAGAGUAGGAAAGCUAGCAAGCAAGCUUCUAGGCAAAACUCUAGUGAUUAAAUUGACAGUUCUAAGCUUACGGAUCAUGUCAAUAGACUCAUCAAGGGUAGGAUGCAAAGGAUCAAUAUGAGGUGCACAAGGGCUAGUAAUGUACUUGUUCAAAUGAUAUUCAUUGAAAAUCUCAAGCAUCUCAUUUUCCACUCAUGAAAGUACUCUCCAUCAAGUAUAGGCACUCUACGUCUAAGACUCCCCAACGUAGACUCAUCCAUCUUCCUCCAAAGGUGUUUAAACCAAAGCAAUNNNNNNNNNNNNNNNNNNNNNNNNNNNNNNNNNNNNNNNNNNNNNNNNNNNNNNNNNNNNNNNNNNNNNNNNNNNNNNNNNNNNNNNNNNNNNNNNNNNNNNNNNNNNNNNNNNNNNNNNNNNNNNNNNNNNNNNNNNNNNNNNNNNNNNNNNNNNNNNNNNNNNNNNNNNNNNNNNNNNNNNNNNNNNNNNNNNNNNNNNNNNNNNNNNNNNNNNNNNNNNNNNNNNNNNNNNNNNNNNNNNNNNNNNNNNNNNNNNNNNNNNNNNNNNNNNNNNNNNNNNNNNNNNNNNNNNNUAGACUCUUAGCAAGAAAAGUUGCAGUUUUUAAUUUCUUUAAGUUGAAGUGGAGUUUUGGCACAAGUUUAAAUAUUCACAAUACAUAUCAAGCAAGCAUGACAAGAGUAUAUGAGCAGCGGAAAGUAAAUCAUGCAAGUUGCAAGAAUGUAAAGGGAUGGGAUUGGAGUGUGCAAACGCAAUUGGAGACACGAAGAUUUUUGGCGUGGUUCCAAUAGGUGGUGCUAUCGUACAUCCACGUUGAUGGAGACUUCAACCCACGAAGGGUAACAGUUGCGCGAGUCCACGGAGGGCUCCACCCAUGAAGGGUCCACGAAGAAGCAACCUUGUCUAUCCCACCAUGGCCAUUGCCCACGAAGGACUUGCCUCACUAGGGUAGAUAUUCACGAAGUAGGCGAUCUCCUUGCCCGUACAAACUCCUUGGUUCAACUCCACAAUCUUGAUGGAGGCUCCCAAGUGACACCUAACCAAUCUAGGAGAGACCACUCUCCAAAAGGUAAUAGAUGGUGUGUUGAUGAUGAACUCCUUGCUCUUGUGCUUCAAGUGAUAGUCUCCUCAACACUCAACUCUCUCUCAUAGGAUUUGAUUUGGUAGAAAGAUGAUUUGAGUGGAAAGCAACUUGAGGAAGGCUAGAGAUCAAGAUUUAAUUGGUUGGAAUGGAAUAUCUUGACCUCAACACAAGUGUAGGUGGUUCUCUCUCUCAAAAAAUGUAUGUUGGAAGUGUAGGCAUGUUCUGAUGGCUCUCUCUACGAAUGAAGAGUGGGUGGAGGGGUAUAUAUAGCCUCCACACAAAAUCUAACCGUUACGCACAAAUCACCAAACUCGGUGGGACCGAACCACAUAACUCGGUCAGACCGAUUUAGUUCAAAACGUGAACAUUAGGAUUUUUGGUGCGACCGGUAUGAUCAACUCGGUGGGACCGAUGUGCUAGGGUUAGGGUAAAGCCUUAUCUCGGUUGGAACGAUUACACAAACUCGGUGGGAACGAUUUGGGUAAUAAGCAAAACAGAGAGUUGGCCAAGCAAACUCGGUGGGACCAAUUUCAUAUUUUGGUGGGACCGAAAUUAAUGCAAUAGGCAACAGAGAGUUUGCAAGCCCAUCUCGGUGAGACCGAAUUGAUUAGGGUUUCUGGCAGUGGCUAUGUCAAGAGAACUCGGUGGCGCCGGAUAGAAAGCUUCGGUGGGGCCGAGUUUGACUUUUGGUUUGGGACAAAUGUGGAUGUGAGAAAGUGGUUGAGGGGUUUGGAGCAUAUCACUAAGCACUUUGAGAAAGAAAGCCAUUACGCAACAUCUCAUCCCCUCUUAAUAGUAUUGGCUUUCCUAUGGACUCAAUGUGAUCUUGGAUCACUAAAAUGAAAAAUGUAGAGUCCCGAGCUUUGAGCUUGAGCCAAUCAUUUGUCUUCAUCAUCUUGAAGGGGUCCCACAUCCUCUAGUCCAUGCCACUCCACUGUUGGACUUAUCUGAAAUAUGGUAGAUGAAAGUAUUAGUCCAACAAGAGAUAUGUUGACAUUAAUUACCAAAAUCACCCAGGGAGCACUUGUGCUUUCAGUCAGCCGUUUGCAAAGAUAUUUCCGUUGGUGUGAGUUUAUUUAAAUCAAGUCUUUUAUAUAAAGAGAAAUGCAUAACACUAACACGAGCUCCCAAAUCACACAAAGCAGUUUUCACAUAAUUCUUUUUGAUAGAGCAAGGUAUAGUUGGUAUUCUCGGAUCUCCAAGUUUUUAGGUACUCCAUCUUUAAAAGUAUAAUUAGCAAGCAUAGUGGAGAUUUCCGCUUCCGGUAUUUUUCUCUUAUUGGUGAUGAUGUCUUUCAUGUACUUUGCAUAAGGAGGCAUUUUCAAGAUAUCAGUCAAGUGAGUAUGCAAAAAGACUGGCCUCAACAUUUUAGCAAAACGUUCAGAUUCUUCUUCAUCUUUCUUUUUAGUUGACUUAGGUGGAAAGGGCAUAGGUUUUUGAACCCACAGUUCUCUUUCUUUACCGUGUUUUCUAGCAAUGAAGUCUCUUUUGUCAUAUCUUUUAUUCUUAGGUUGUGGGUUAUCAAGAUCAACCGGUGGUUCUAUCUCUACAUCAUUGUCUGGUUCUUUAUUAUUUGGUUGAGCAUCUUCAUGAACCUCAUCAUUAUCUUUUUCGUUAUCAGAAGGUGAGUGUUCAUUACCAGACUGAGUUUCAGCAUCAUAGAUAGAAGUUUCAUUAUCAUUAUCAGGAGGUUUUUCUAUUUCAGGUUCACUAGAAGCAUGCAAAGUCCUAUCAUUUUUCUUCUUCUUUUCUUUCUAGAAGGACUAGGUGCAUCAUUGUUAACUCUUUGUGAAUCUUGUUCAAGUCUUUUUGGGUGUCCCUGAGGAUAAAGUGGUUGCUGAGUCAUUUUACCUCCUCUAGUUGGAACUCUAACAACAAAGUCAUGUAUAUUAUGAUUCAUUUCAUCAAGCAAUUCUCUUUGUGAUUUAGCAACUUGUUCUAACUGAGUUUGAACCAUAGAAGCAUGCUUUCCAACACAUCUAACAUCAUUUGAGAUUCUAAAUAACAAGUCACUCAAGCGAGCAAUCAUAUCAGAAUUGUAUUCCAAUUGUUUCAUAACAUUUGCAUUGAAGUGAUCUUGUUUUCUAAUAUAGUUUUCAAACUCAUAAAGGCAUUGGCUAGGAUGCAUAUUGUGAGGAUUGCCAUUAUCAUUGAAUUUCAUUAGAGAAUUUACCUCUACCACCUUAGGCAAUAGUGGUGUAUUAAGCCCAUGUAUUUCUUCAAUAGGAGGUAAAAUUUUAACAUCCUCAACUUUAAUACCUUUUUCCUUCAUAGAUUUAUUUGCCUCUUGCAUAUCUUCAGGACUGAGAUAUAAUAUACCCCCUUCUUCGGAGUGAGUUUAGGUGGUGGUUCAGGAAGAGUCCAAUCAUCAUAUUUUUCAAUAUGUUAUUCAAUAAUUCUUCAACUUGUCCAACAGUCCGUUACCUAAAAACACAACCAGCACAACUAUCUAGGAAAUCCCUAGAAGCAUCAGUUAGUCCAUUAUAGAAGAUAUCAAGUAUUUCAUUUUUCUUAAGAGGAUGAUCAGGCAAAGCAUUAAGUAAUUGGCAAAGCCUUCCCCAAUCUUGUGGGAGACUCUCUUCUUUAGUUUGAACAAAGUUAAAUAUUUCCUACAAGGCAGCUUGUUUCUUAUGAGCAGGGAAAUAUUUUUCAGUGAAGCAAUAAAUCAUAUCCUGGGGACUACGCACACAACCAGGAGCAAGAGUAUUGUACCAAGAUUUAGCAUCACCCUUUAAUGAGAACGGAAAUAAUUUGAGAAUAAAGUAAUGGCGAGUUUUCUUAUCAUGAGUAAAAAGGGUGGCUAUGUCAUUCAACUUAGUAAGACGUGCCACAAUAGUUUCAGUUUCAUAACCAUGGAAAGGAUCAGACAACCAAAGUAAUUAACUCUAGGUCGACAGAGAAUUCAUAAUAUUUAUCAUCAAUAAAUAUUGGUGAAGUAGAAAACUUAGGAUCAUAUUUCAUUCUAGCAUUCAUAGAUUUUUCUUUAUACUUGCAUAAUAAUUUCUCUAGAUCAUCUCCAUCCCUACAAGCAAGAAUAUCUCUAGUUGUCUCCUCAUUCAUAACAUAACCUUCCAGUACCUUAGGCAACUCAUAUCUAGGAAGGCUAGUUCUAGCAGGUGUUUUAGGAGUUUUAGUUUCAAGCUCAUCAUCAGAUUCAACAACAUCAUGUUGUAUUACUCUAGCAAUUUGUUCAUCAAGAAAUUCACCAAGUGGCAUAUCAUCAUUAUCAAGCAAGGUACUAGAAUCAUCAUAAGCAUUAUCCAUAGCAGAAGUAGCAUCAUCAAUAACUUGCGACACAUCAGAAUUAAUAGCAUGUGGUGGUGUUGCAAGUUUACUUAUAACAGCAGGUGAAUCUAAAGCAUAACUUGAUGGCAGUUCCUUACCUCCCAUCGUCUUCGAGGGAAAUAUCUUAGUCUUAGCAUCCUUCAGAUUCUUCAUAGUGAUAAAUCAAUAAUAAUCCCCAGUGACUCAACAAAUAUAGAUAUGCUCCCCGACAACGGCGCCAGAAAAAGGUCUUGAUAACCCACAAGUAUAGGGGAUCGCAACAGUUUUCGAGGGUAGAGUAUUCAACCCAAAUUUAUAGAUUCGACACAAAGGGAGCCAAAGAAUAUUUGAAGGUAUUAAUAGAUGAGUUGUCAAUUCAACCACACCUCGAGAUUAAUUAUCUGUAGCAAAGUGAUCAGUAGCAAAGUAGUAUGAUAGUUUUGAUAAUAGUAGCAACAAUAACAACAGUGAUAGCAGUAGUUUUGUAACAAGCGCAACAAUAACAAUAGCAAUAGUAACUUAGCAAGAACAAUAUAAGAUAAAUUCGUAGGCAUUGGAUCGGUGACUUGUUGGAUGAUAUUCAUCAUGAGACAUUUAUAACCUAGGGCGAUACUGCACUAGCUCCAGUUCGUCAAUAUAAUGUAGGAAUGUAUUCCGUAAAUAGUCAUACAUGCUUAUGGAAAUAACUUGCAUGACAUCUUUUGUCCUACCCUCCCGUGGCAGCGGGGUCCUAUUGGAAACUAAGGGAUAUUAAUGACUCCUUUUAAUAGAGAACCGGAACAAAGCACUAGCACAUAGUGAAUACAUGAACUCCUGAAACUACGGUCAUCACCGGGAGUGGUCCCGACUAUUGUCACUCCGGGGUUGCCGGAUCAUAACACGUAGUAGGUGGCUAUAACUUGCAAGAUCGGAUCUAGAACAUGGAUAUAAUGGUGAUAACAUAAAUGGUUCAGAUAUGAGUUUAUGGCACCCGCGCACAAAGUGACAAGCAUUAAGCAUGGCAAAGUCAUAGCAACAUCAAUCUUAGAACAUGGUGGAUACUAGGGAUCAAGCCCUAACAAAACUAACUAGAUUACAUGAUGAAUCUCAUCCAACUCCUCACCAACUAGCGAGCCUACGAAGGAAUUAUUCACUCCCGGUGGGGAGCAUCAUGGAAUUGGCGAUGGAGAAGGGUUGGUGAUGAUGAAGAAUGAAGAACAGGAGGUUCCGGUGGUUCCGUCUCGUGGAUCACGAUAAUUCUUUCUCCCUGAUUUUUUUCUAGAAAAAUAGGUAUUUAUGGAGUUGGAAUCAGGGUCUGCGGGGCCACCAGGUGGGGACAACCCACCUAGGCGUGCCAGGAGGGGGGGGCGCCCUGGUGGGUUGUGCCCACCCAGGUGCCCCCUCCAUGUUGGGGAACGCAGUAAUUUCAAAAAAUUCCUACGCACACGCAAGAUCAUGGUGAUGCAUAGCAACGAGAGGGGAGAGUAUCAUCUACGUACCCUCGUAGACCGUAAGAAGAAGCGUUAUGACAAUGUGGUUGAUGUAGUCAUAUGUCUUCACGAUCGACCGAUCUAGUACCGAAGAUACGACACCUCCGCGAUCUGCACACGUUCGACUCGGUGACGUCCCGUGAACUCACGAUCCAGUAGAGCUUCAAGGGAGAGCUUCGUCAACACGACGACGUGAUGACGGUGAUGAUGUUGCUACUGGAACAGGGCUUCGCCUAAGCACCGCUACGAUAUUAUCGAGGUGGAUUAUGGUGGAGGGGGGCACCGCACACGGCUAAAAGAUCAAUGAUCAACUUGUGUGUCUAUGGGGUGCCCCCUCCCCCGUAUAUAAAGGAGUGGAGGAGGGGGAGGGGGCGGCCUCUCUAGGCGCGCCCCAAGGAGUCCUACUCCCAUCGGGAGUAGGAUUCCCCCUUCCCUUUUUUGGUUCUAAGAGAGAAGGAAGGAGAGGGAAGAAGGAAGGAAAAAGGGGGGGCCGGCCCCCCUCCCAAUUCGGAUUGGGCUUGGGGGGGGGGGCGCCCCCUCCUUUGCUUCUUUCCCCUCUCUUCCACUAAUGCCCAAUAAGGCCCAUAUACCUCCCGAGGGGUUCCGGUAACCUCCCGGUACUCCGGCAUACUCCCAAUUUCACCCGAAACCAUUCUGAUGUCCAAACAUAGGCUUCCAAUAUAUCAAUCUUUAUGUCUCGACCAUUUCAAGACUCGUCGUCAUGCCCGUGAUCAAAUCUGGGACUCAGAACUACCUUUGGUACAUCAAAACACAUAAACUCAUAAUACCGAUCGUCACCGAACAUUAAGCGUGCGGACCCUAUGAGUUCGAGAGCUAUGUAGACAUGACCGAGACAUGUCUCCGGUCAAUAACCAAUAGCGGAACCUGGAUGCUCAUAUUGGUUCCUACAUAUUCUACGAAGAUCUUUAUCGUUCAAAGCACAUAACGAUAUAUGUUGUUCCCUUUGUCAUCAAUAUGUUACUUGCCUGAGAUUCGAUCGUCGGUAUCUCAAUACCUAGUUCAAUCUCAUUACCGGCAAGUCUCUUUACUCGUUCUGUAAUGCUACAUCCCGUAAAUAACUCAUUAGUUACAUUGCUUGCAAGGCUUAUUGUGAUGUACAUUACCGAGAGGGCCCAGAGAUACCUCUCUGACAAUCGGAGUGACAAAUCCUAAUCUUGAUCCAUGCCAACCCAAUAAAUACCAUCGGAGACACCUGUGGAGCGCCUUUAUAAUCACCCAGUUACGUUGUGAUGUUUGGUAGCACACAAAGUGUUCCUCCAGUAUUCGGGAGUUGCAUGAUCUCAUAGUCAUAGGAAUAUGUAUAGUUAUGGAGAAAGCGAUAGCAACAAACUAAACGAUCAUCGUGCUAAGCUAACAGAUGGGUCAAGUCAAUCACAUCAUUCUCUAAUGAUGUGAUCCCGUUAAUCAAAUGACAACUCAUGUCUAUGGUUAGGAAACAUAACCAUCAUUGAUUCAACGAGCUAGUCAAGUAGAGGCAAACUAGUGACACUCUGUUUCUCUAUGUAUUCACACAUGUACUAAGUUUCCGGUUAAUACAAUUCUAGCAUGAAUAAUAAACAUUUAUCAUGAUAUAAGGAAAUAUAAAUAACAACUUUAUUAUUGCCUCUAGGGCAUAUUUCCUUUACUCCGGUGGAUCUUGGCUCCAGAAAUUCUUGUUUAUUGUAUAAAAAAUCCUCGCAAAGUGUCGUUCCAUUCUGAGAACUUUUAUUUCUGCACAAAACAACACCCUGGUAGUUCUGCUGAAAACAACGUCAGUACGGGGUUAGUUUCAUUCAAAUCAUGCAAAUUAGAGUCCAAAACAAGAAUAAAAGUGUGAGGAUAAGUAGAUACGUUGGAGACAUAUCAGACACCGGAAUGGUUCCGGAGCGUUUUGGGUUUUUAUCAGAGUACCGGGGGGUUACCAGAACCCCCCGAGGAAAGAUAUGGUCCAUAGAGGGAAGGGGAGGCAGCCCACAAGGGGUGGCGUGUGUUAGGGAACGUAGUAUUUCAAAAAAAUUCCUACAAUCACGCAAGAUCUAUCUAGGAGAUGCAUAGCAACGAGACGGGAGAGUGUGUCCACGUACCCUCGUAGACCGAAAGCGGAAGCGUUUAGUAACGCGGUUGAUGUAGUCGAACGUCUUCACGAUUCAACCGAUCCAAGUAUCGAACGUACGGCACCUCCCUGUUCAGCACACGUUCAACACGAUGACGUCCCUCGAGCUCUUGAUCCAGUUGAGGGCGAGGGGGAGUUCCGUCAGCAUGACGGCGUGGCGACAUUGAUGAUGAAGUUACCGGCGCAGGGCUUCGCCUAAGCACUACGACGAUAUGAACGAGGUGUUAAACUGUGGAGGGGGGCACCGCACAUGGCUAAGAGAUUGUUCGUUGUUCUAUUAGGGUGCCCCCUAGCCACGUAUAUAAAUGAGGGAGGGAGAGAGGCCGGUGGCUAGGAGGGGCGCGCCAAGGGGGGGGUCCUACUUGGACUCCUAGUGCAAGUAGGAUUCGCCCCCCCUUUUCCUUUCUUCCACCGGAGGGAAAGGAAGGAGGGGAGAAGGAGAAGGAAGGAGGGGGCUGCGCCCCACCCCUUGUCCAAUUCGGUUUGGGCAGGGGGAGGCGCGCGCCAUGUAGCAAUCCGACCUCAGGCGGUCAAAUCUCUGUGUUCAGUGUCAUCCCUGGAUCGGUAAUGCUGACACACACAAUACUCGAAUGGAUUUAUAACAGAGUGGCAAUCACACGCUUAUUACAUCGAAUGUCUCAAGAGAGAACUUAUUACAAUAAAUAUGGCUUAAAGAGAUCUAAAACAAGAUAACAGUGGAAGGCUUGGAAGAUAAAGUGAGUUCAUCAACUCCAACGGCAUAGCUGAGUGCAUGACAAACAACCUAGUGCACCUUACUCUUCGUCUGAAAAAUCUGCAACAUGAUAUGUUGCAGCCCGAAAUGGGUCAGCACAUGGAAUAUGCUGGCAAUAUAACACAAUAGAGCAAUGAACAGACAAAUGCUAUCACUACAUGCAUAUAUGGCUGGUGGAGUCUCUAUGGUUGUAUUGUUUUGCGAAAAGCCAAUUUUUCCCUACAACAAAGGAAUAUCUUUUUAUUUAACUAUCAUGGUGGUUGAAGCAUUGAGAAGGUUCCUCCAACUCAAUCCCAAUUAGAAAGUAAUUAGCAACCCAACAAAUUAACUUAGAGUGAUGAGAUCAAGUCAAUAAUUCAAGUACUAGAUACUCAAGAUGUCCAUAACCGGGGACACGGCUAACCAUGAUUAGUUUAUACACUCUGCAGAGGUUUGCACACUUUUCCCCACAAGACUCGAUCUCCUCAGUUGGAUUUCUCGCACUACAUGGUGUUUGAGAAACGGAUGACCAAGACAUAGUCUUUCAGAAGCAUUAACUCUAACCCCGGGUAGACAGUACCAACCUACAUCCCCUACAUCUGCUAGCCUACCACUGGAAGUUGUCAUGCAACAUACUCAACUAUGCUAGAGCCCAUAAUAGCUUGUGGCUGCACACAGAAGUUUCUAGCAUGAAUGAUCUUAUGAUCCCUUUGAGCCUGGGUGGCGAACCGUAGGAUGAUCACACGGGUACUCUGGGAUAUCAUAGGACAACACUGGAUUCUACAGGUGCCCGCAACCAAUCCACCCAGAUGUGUAUUUAAGUAGCCACCUUAAGUUAACCAUUAAUUAACAUCUCACAUUUGUCAUGGUUACACUCAAUCUCAAUCCACGUCUACGAGCAUAGCAUGGCAAUAAGCAUAAUGUAGAAGUAACUCCCAGGGUUUGAUAAUAAAACAGGUAAUAGGUUCUACCUCAUCAUCUACUUCCCAAUACCCACAAGUUAAUCACAUCCUAAUCAUGCAAUGUUUGAGGAUUGUAACUAAUGCACAAAAACUGGGUAUGAAAGGAGUAUGAUCAAUGUGUUACUUGCCUUGCCGACGAUCCGCAAAACCUAGUGACUCGUAGUAGCACGCUUCACACUCCGGGAAUUCUAGCGCAAACAAACAAUAGCAUACAUAAGAAAUCAAGCAAAGAUGCAUGGGUAAAACUCAAAUAAGAAGAUCAAAUCUGAAAACUCAACUGAAGAGAUUCGAUCUACAAAAAGAAUCAAUCGAAUCGGAGCUACGGAACUAAAACUACGGUCAAAAGAACUUCGAAUUCAAAUCUGCUUGAAACCAAAUUUUAAAUUGUCAAAACCUUGUUCAAGUUUAUUAAACAGAAAGAGGGUUCUGAGAUGAAGAUUUUGGCGUUGCUUUCACUGGAUUUGGACAAAUGGUUAAAAAGUUACGAGGAUUCGAAGAUCAGGGACUAAUCUGCAAUAAAAAUAAUCGCGGAUAGGUCCCUAGCCGAAAAUAAAAGAAAAAGAAAAAGACUAACGAACGAACAUUCGCUAACAGAACCAAUCUAACGAAAACCGUUCACUAACAGAUCUAAACGAACGAACGUUCGUUAAAUAAAUAAACCGAUGAAAAACCAACCUAAUAAAAUAAACCACGAAACUAAAAAACCGGGUUAAACUAAAAAAAUGGCCGGUCAACGACGGCGGCUCCGGCGGCGGGAACCGGCGGCAGCGGGGCGCGGCAGCGGCNNNNNNNNNNNNNNNNNNNNNNNNNNNNNNNNNNNNNNNNNNNNNNNNNNNNNNNNNNNNNNNNNNNNNNNNNNNNNNNNNNNNNNNNNNNNNNNNNNNNNNNNNNNNNNNNNNNNNNNNNNNNNNNNNNNNNNNNNNNNNNNNNNNNNNNNNNNNNNNNNNNNNNNNNNNNNNNNNNNNNNNNNNNNNNNNNNNNNNNNNNNNNNNNNNNNNNNNNNNNNNNNNNNNNNNNNNNNNNNNNNNNNNNNNNNNNNNNNNNNNNNNNNNNNNNNNNNNNNNNNNNNNNNNNNNNNNNNNNNNNNNNNNNNNNNNNNNNNNNNNNNNNNNNNNNNNNNNNNNNNNNNNNNNNNNNNNNNNNGGCGGCCUCGCCUCGCCUUAUAAAGGCCCGGGUGGCAGUGUCCUGUUCGGACAUGGCCCAUUAAGGCGGUUCACUUUUUUUAUACGGAUUUUGCCGAAAAAAUCCUAAUAAAUAAAAUAAAAAUCUAAAAAUGCCAAAACAAAUUUUCGCCGUCUAAAUAAAAUAUUUAAAACAUGAUGAACAUUUUCUUGGCCUAAAAUGCAAUUUUAGAAAUAUGCAUAUUUUUCUAAUUCAAAUAAAAUUACAAUAAAAACCAAAUAAAAUUAUUUAUUUGAUUUUAAUAUUUUUUCCUCCAAUAUUUCUUUUACUUUGGAGAAGUCAUAUUAUCUCCUCUCAUAUAUUUUUAGUAUGAAAUAUUUUUUGGAGAGAAAAAUAAUUAAAAUCAAAAUGAUCCCUGUUUCAAUAUUUGAGAAAAUUCAAAUAUGGAAAUCGUGAAAUCCCCAACUCUCUCCGUGGGUCCUUGAGUUGCUUAGGAUUUUUAGGAUCACAACCGAAAUGCAAAUAAAAUAUGAUAUGCAUUGAUGACCUAUGUAUAACAUUCCAAAUUGAAAAUUUGGGAUGUUACAAACCUACCCCCCUUAAGAUGAAUCUCGUCCUCGAGAUUCUGGUUGGCUAGAAAAUAGUCGUGGGUGGUCUUUCUGUAGAUCAUCCUCUCGUUCCUAGGUGGCUUCAUCCUCGGCAUGGUGGCUCCACUGUACUUUGCAAAACUUAAUAAUAUUGCUGCGUGUAACUCAGUUGGCAAACUCGAGAAUCUUGAUUGGUUUCUCCUCAUAGGUCAGAUCACUAUCCAACUGAAUUGCCUCUAGGGGCACUGUAUCUCUCAGAGGGAUAUCAGCCAUCUCAACAUGACACUUCUUCAACUGAGAAACGUGAAACACAUCAUGAACUCCUGACAAUCCUUCGGGUAACUCCAACUUGUAGGCCACUUCUCCCAUACGUUCCAAAACUCGGUAUGGUCCUACAAAUCUUGGGGCUAGCUUUCCCUUGACUCCAAAACAUUUAACUCCUCGCAGAGGUGACACACGGAGAUAUGCUCUGUCUCCGAUUUCAUAUACUACCUCCUUGCGUUUUGAGUCUGCAUAACUCUUCUGCCUGGACUGAGCUACCUUCAGUCUAUCUCGAAUCAACUUAACCUUCUCUUCAGACUCUUUGAUCAAGUCUGGUCCAAACAACUGACGGUCUCCGACUUCAUCCCACAUCAACGGUGUCGUGCACCUUCUUCCAUACAAUGCUUCGAAAGGUGCCAUCUUCAAACUGGCCUGAUAAUUGUUGUUGUAUGAGAACUCCGAGUGGGGUAAAAUCUCAUCCCAACUAGAUCCAUAAUCUAGCGCACAAGCUCUCAACAUGUCCUCCAGGAUCUGAUUGACUCUCUCGGUCUAUCCAUCUGUCUGCGGAUGCAAGGUUGUACUGAACUCUAGCCUGGUACCCAAAGUCUGGUGCAGUUGGUGCCAAAACUUUGAAGUAAUCUGUGUUCCUCUAUCUGAUACGAUGGUCCUCAGAACUCUGUACAUACAUACGAUCCUGGUCAUGUAUAUCUUGGCCAACUUUGCACUGGUAUAGGUGGUCUUCACUGGGAUAAAGUGAGCUACUUUGGUCAGACGAUCCACUACUACCCAGAUAGAAUCAGAUCCCAAUCGGGUCCUGGGUAAUCCGGUGAUAAAAUCCAUGCCAAGCUUGUCCCACUUCCAUUCGGGUAUCGGCAUAGGCUGCAGUAGUCCUGCUGGCUUCUGAUGUUCUGCCUUCACUCUUUAACAUACAUCACAUACGGCUACAUACUCGGCGAUAUCCUUCUUUAUUCCAGUCCACCAGAAACGCUCCUUUAAAUCCAGAUACAUCUUGGUGUUUCCGGGGUGUAUCGAGUAUGGCGAGUCAUGAGCUUCCUGAAGUAUCAACUUCUUGAUCUCCGCAUUAUUGGGCACAUAUACACGGUCCUUAAACCACAAGGUGUCAUGCUCAUCCUCACGAAAACCUUUGGCCUUUCCUUUACUCAUUUUCCCCCUUUAUUUCAGCAAUUUCUUUGUCAUCCUUCUGAGCUUCUCGAAUCUUUCCCAAUAGUGUUGACUAAACCUCCAUUGUGGAAACAAAACCUCUAGGGACUAUCUCCAAAUGAAGCUCCCUGAGAUCCUUGGCUAACUCCUUUGGCAAUCCUCCGCUUAUGAGGGUAUUGGCGUAACUCUUCUGGCUCAAAGCGUCUGCUACGACAUUGGCCUUGCCUGGAUGAUAGUGCAACUUCAUAUCAUAAUCCUUUAUGAGCUCUAACCAUCUCCUUUGCCUAAGGUUCAGCUCCUUCUGUGUGAAAAUGUACUUCAAACUCUUAUGAUCCGUGUACACAUCACAACGGUUUCCAAUAAGAAAAUGUCUCCAGGUCUUGAGUGCAUGAACUACAGCUGCUAACUCCAAAUCAUGCGUAGCAUAAUUCAACUCAUGCGGUCAAAGCUGACGUGAGGCAUAUGAAACAACUCUUCCGUCUUGCAUAAGUACUCCUCCUAGUCCUAAGCGAGAAGCGUCGCAAUACACUUGGAAAUCCUUGCGUAUAUCCGGCAGGAUCAACACUGGGGCUAUAACCAAACGUUUCUUCAACUCCUGAAAACUUGCCUCACAUUCAUCAGUCCAUUUGAAUUUGGUGUCUUUCUUCAACAGCUCUGUCAUAGGCUUUGCAAUCUUGGAGAAAUUCUCAACGAAUCUCCGAUAGUAUCCCGCAAGUCCUAGAAAACUGCGGAUCUCUCCAACUGAGGUGGGUGCCAACCACUCAGUGACUCACUGAACCUUAGUAGGGUCCACUGCUAUACCUUCACCUGAUAUAACAUGUCCAAGAAAUCCAACUUCCUUCAACCAAAACUCAAACUUACUGAACUUAGUGUAUAACUGGUGUUCUCUGAGCUUCCGAGAACUAAGCGCAAAUGCUCCUUGUGCUCCUCUUCAUUCUUCGAGUAUACCAAGAUAUCAACUAUGAACACCAUGACAAACUUAUCCAAGAACUCCAUGAACACCUUAUUCAUCAUACUCAUGAAAUAGGCCGGGGCAUUAGUCAAUCCAAAUGACAUAACCGUAUACUCAUAUAACCCGUACCUUGUGGUGAAAGCUGUCUUGGGUAUAUCAUGUUCUCAAAUCUUCAGCUGGUGGUACCCUGAUCGCAAAUUGAUCUUGGAAAAUACUUUAGCUCCUUGCAACUGAUCAAACAAGUCAUUGAUCAUCGGCAGCGGAUACUUGUUCUUAAUCGUCACUUCAUUCAAUGCACGAUAAUCAACAACCAUUCUCAAUGAUCCAUCUUUCCUCUCAACUAAGAGCACUGGGGCUCCCCACGGCGAUGAACUUUGUUGAAUGUAUCCUUUCUCCAAUAACUCCUUGAUCUGCUUCUUAAUCUCCUCCAGAUCAUUUGCGGGCAUCCGGCAUGGUCUCUUCGAUAUCGUUCCGGUGCCGGGCAAUAACUCUAUCAGAAACUCAAUGUCUCGAUCAGGCGGCAUGCCUGGUAACUCCUCUGGAAAUACAUAUGGACAAUCCUUCACUACAGGCACUUCCUCCUGAACAACUCACGUGAGAGAAUUUACUUGGGUCCUCCUCGGCGCAUGCCUGGAUACAUACUUGAUCCGUUUUCCCUCCGGGGUGGUGAGUAGAAUUGACCUACUAGGACAGUCAAUGUUUCCCCCAUACUUCGAUAACCAAUCCAUUCCUAGUAUCACAUCCAAUCCUUGUGACUCCAGAAUUAUUAGGUCUGAGGGGAAAACAUGGCUACCAAUGGUUAAGGGUAUCCGACCGCACCAUCGGCUGGCCAUAUACUCUGCACCUGGUGAGCUUACUAACAAGGGUGUCCUAAGGGCUAUGGUGGGUAACUUAAACUUGUCCACAAAUCCCCUUGAAAUGUAUGAAUGCGAUGCACCAGUAUCAAAAAGAACAAGAGCGGUAAAUUACUUAACCAAAAACUUACCGACAACUGCAUCUGGCUGCUCUUCAACCUCCUCCACGUUCACGUGGUUCACUUGUCCCCUGUUGAAAGGGUUGGGCUUCUUCACAGAGCUUCCAUUGCCAUUACCAUUCUUUGCUUCAGAACAUUCAGUGGCGUAAUGUCCAGUCUUCCUGCACUUGAAACAAGUAAUGUGACUUAGAUCCUUCUUAGCGGGCGUUGCUGGGUUAAAGCGGUUCUGGUUGCUGCCUGCUCCAUUCCCGUUUCCAUUCUUGGGGCCACUGUGGUUAUGCGAACUUCCUCCAUUGUGAGUAUGGCCUCCAUGGUUAUGGGUAAAUCCUCCCGAGUUUGGGGUGAAACGAGGCUUCUGCUGAGCUCCUGAGUUGUACUUCCCCUAUCCAUACUUCCUCUUACUGCUCUCAAUCUGCUGCUGCUUCCCUUCAAUCAUAGGAGCCGUGUCUACCAACUCCUGAUAGUUAGAGAAUGUCUCUACCAUCAACUGCAUACUCAUCUCAUUAUUCAGCCCUUCCAUAAACUUCUCCUGCUUCGCGGCAUCGGUGGCCACAUCAUCCGGGGCAUAACAGGCUAACUUACUAAACUCAUCCACGUACUGCCCCACAGUACAGUUUCCUUGGUGCAAGUUGCGAAACUCACGCUUCUUCAUGCUCAUAGCCCCAGUUGAGACAUGUGCCGUGCGAAAUUCUUGUGAAACUGAUCCCAAGUGACAUUGGCUAUAGGGAAAGUGGUCGUGUAAUUCUCCCCCAUGCGGCUGCAGGUCCAUCCAAUUGAUGUGCGGCAAAACACACCUUCUCAACAUCUGUGCAACCCAUGGUGGUCAACUCCCUUCCAAUCCUGCGUAGCCAGUCAUCAGCAACUAUUGGCUCGGUGCUACUAGAAAACACCAGCGGCUGGAACCUCAGAAAACGAGCUAAGUUGUCAACUGGAGGUGGUGGUGGAGGGUUGUUGUUGUUGUUGUAGCAAGGCAUUCUGCUGCUGGAUCAACUGGGUGAUCUCAGGUGGGAAGACAAAUCCGGUGUCACGUCUCGGAGGCAUUUGAUGGGUUUAGAGGGGAGAGAUUAGAAUAGAAUGAGGUCUAGUGAGAAAGCACUACCCAUAUGCACAUGAGACAAACACAAUCAUGUCACACCAAAUCAAUUCAAGCAAGGGCAUACAAUCGGUCUAGAACUAUCAUUACAAAGUGCUCGGACUACUACUAUAUACAUGGGGAAAUACUACUAUUAAUAUGGUGGUCUACUAGAAAUUUUGAUCGGUGGAAGACUCCAUGAUAUCCGCUCCUGCUUCGUCUUCAUAAUCAUCAUCACUACCAUCCAGGUCGGAGUCAGUGUCAUCGAUGUUGAUGUAGUCUUCUGAAUGAAUUUCCUUGGGUUCGUCGUCUUCUCCUCUUGGCGCAGGGUCUCCCAUGAAUACUCCUACCUUCCUUGUCAGGUCGUCAUUCUUCUCCACGAGUAUUGCAAUUUCCUCCUCAUAUUCGUCGCGUGUAGACUUGAGUUCCUCCUCUAGCUCCAUGUUCCUGGUCAUCACCUUCUUCAAAUCUAUCAUGUUUACGCACAUCUAGUUCUCCUGGCAAUGAAUGUGUUGGUUUAACUCCUGGAUGAAAGCUGCAAUGGACCUGUCCCUCCUGGUGCUGACUAUCUCCCAUUGCUCAUCUCGGCGCCCACAUAUCUAGUAGAUAGUGUCCUUAAGUUCCUUGUUGUAAACUUCUCCGAUGCGUCCCAUGGCGAUGUGGGCUACCAUGCUCUUUCCUAAACUCCAGGUUGGUGCAUCAAAUGAAAACUCUAUGGGCUCAGUAACUGGGGUGAGCAUCCUUCCUAGAACUUGAACUUGAAUCAUCCAAUGCUCCUCUUCUAGUAAAGUGGUGGUGUAGGUCCCGGUGAAGCUUGGUAUUCCGAUAUUCAGGUACUUAGUGACUUCCUUCAAGUGUCAUCCAAAAGGUGUGUCUUCAUCUGGUUGUGCAAACUUGUUCCUCGAGUCCGCCAUCCUAAAGAGUAGAAAAUGGAGAUGAGUCAGAAAUGAGUAGAGAAGAGUGACCUAUGGCUCAUCUUAGUGGUCGUGUCCUACAUUCAGCGUGUGCUCUGAUACCAUCUUGUAGCGAUCCGACCUCAGGCGGUCAAAUCUCCGUGUUUAGUGUCAUCCCUGGAUCGUUAAUGCUGACACACAUAGUACUCGAAUGGAUUUAUAACAGAGUGGCAAUCACACACUUAUUACAUCAAAUGUCUCAAGAGAGAACUUAUUACAAUAAAUAUGGCUUAAGUCCAUCUAAAACAAGAUAACAACGGAAGGCUUGGAAGAUAAAGUGAGUCCAUCAACUCCAAUGACAUAGUUGAGUGCAUGACAAACGACCUAGUGCACCUUACUCUUCGUGUGAGGAGUCUGCAACAUGAUAUGUUGCAGCCCGAAAUGGGUCAGCACAUGGAAUAUGCUGGAAAUAUAACACAGUAGAGCAAUGAACAGAUAAAUGCUAUCACUACAUGCAUAUAUGGCUGGUGGAGGCUCUAUGGUUAUAUUGUUUUGCGAAAAGCCAUUUUCCCCUACAACAAAGGAAUAUAUUUUUAUUUAACUAUCAUGGUGGUUGAAACACCGAGAAGGUUCCUCCAACUCAAUCCCAAUUAUAAAGUAAUUAGCAACCCAACAAAUUAACUUAGAGUGAUGAGAUCAAAUCAAUAAUUCAAGUACCAGAUACUCAAGAUGUCCAUAACCGGGGACACGGCUAACCAUGAUUAGUUUAUACACUCUAUAGAGGUUUGCGUACUUUUCCCCACAAGACUCGAUCUCCUCCAUUGUAUUUCUCGCACUACAUGGUGUUUGAGAAAUGGAUGACCGAGACACCGUCUUUUAGAAGCAUUAACUCUAACCCCGGGUAGACAGUACUAACCUACAUCCCCUACAUCUGCUAGCCUACCACUGGAAGAGGUCAUGCAACAUACUCAACUAUGCUAGAGCCCAUAAUAGCUUGUGGCUGCACACGGAAGUUUCUAGCAUGAAUGAUCUUAUGAUCCCUUUGAUCCUGGGUGGCGAACCGUAGGAUGAUCAGACGGGUACUCCAGGAUAUCCUAGGACAACACUGGAUUCUCCAGGUGCCCGCAACCAAUUGUAACACCCACAAUGCGGCUAUAUCUCCCACGUGUCGGGGCACGACUUAGAGGCAUAGCCGCAUGGUAGUCUUGUCGCACGAGGGGUAAUCUUCACACAUCCCAUGUACUGAAUAAGAAAGGGAUAAAGAGUUGGCUUACAAUCACCACUUCACACAAUACAUAAAUAGAUCAUACAUCAUCCAGAAUACAAUCAAAUGUCCGACUACGGAACCAAAAUAAAAGAAGACAACCCCAAAUGUUAGAUCCCCGAUCGUCCCAACUGGGCUCCACUACUGAUCGACCGGAAAAGACACAACACAAAGAUCAAGAUCUUUAUCGAGCUCCCACUUGAGAUCAGUUACGUUACCUGCACUGGUAUCAUCGGCAUCUGCAACUGUUUGGAAGAAUCUGUGAGUCACGAGGACUCAGCAAUCUCACACCCGCGAGAUCAAGACUAUUUAAGCUUAUGGGUAGGAAAUGGUAGUGAGGUGGAGCUGCAGCAAGCACUAAGCAAAUAUGGUGGCUAACAUACGCAAAUGAGAGCAAGAAGAGAAGUAAAGCAACGGUCGUGAAGCUAAAAGUGAUCAAGAAGUGAUCCUGAAACUACUUAUGUUCAAGCAUAACACAAGAACCGUGUUCACUUCCCGGACUCCGCCAGAAAGAGACCAUCACGGCUAGACACGCGGUUGAUGCAUUUUUAAUUAAGUUAAGUGUCAAGUUCUCUACAACCGGAUAUUAACAAAUUCCCAUCUGCCCAUAACCGCGGGCACGGCUUUCGAAAGUUGAAACCCUGCAGGGGUGUCCCAACUUAGCCCAUCACAAGCUCUCACGAUCAACGAAGGAUAUUCCUUCUCCCAGGAAGACCCGAUCAGACUCAGAAUCCCGGUUACAAGACAUUUCGACAAUGGUAAAACAAGACUAGCAAGACCGCCCGAUGCGUCGACAUCCUGAUAGGAGCUGCACAUAUCUCGUUCUCAGGGCAACACCGGAUGAAUACUACGUAAAACUAAAANNNNNNNNNNNNNNNNNNNNNNNNNNNNNNNNNNNNNNNNNNNNNNNNNNNNNNNNNNNNNNNNNNNNNNNNNNNNNNNNNNNNNNNNNNNNNNNNNNNNNNNNNNNNNNNNNNNNNNNNNNNNNNNNNNNNNNNNNNNNNNNNNNNNNNNNNNNNNNNNNNNNNNNNNNNNNNNNNNNNNNNNNNNUAAAGAUGACCCUCGGGUUAAUUACUCCCAAGGGAAAGGUAUAGGUUGUUAGGCAAAUGUAAAGCCAAGGUUGGGCCUUGCUGGAGGAGUUUUAUUCAAAGUGAACUGUCAAGGGGUUCCCAUAACACCCAACUACGUAAGGAACGCAAAAUCAAAGAACAUAACAUCGGUAUGACGGAAACUAGGGCGGCAAGAGUGGAACAAAACACCAGGCAUAAGGCCGAGCCUUCCACCCUUUACCAAGUAUAUAGAUGCAUUAAUUAAAAUAAGAGAUAUUGUGAUAUCCCAACAUAUCCAUGUUCCAACUUGGAACAAACUUCAGCUUCACCUGCAACUAGCAACGCUCUAAGAGGGGCUGAGCAAAAGCGGUAACAUAGCCAAACAAUGGUUUGCUAGGAAGGUGGGUUAGAGGCUUGACAUGGCAACAUGGGAGGCAUGAUAUAACAAGUGGUAGGUAGCGCGACAUAGAGAUAGAGCGAACAACUAGCAAGCAAAGAUAGAAGUGAUUUUGAGGGUAUGGUCAUCUUGCCUGAGAUCCCGCAAGGAAGAAGAACGAGUCCAUGAAGAAGACAAACAGACGUAGUCGAACGGAUCUCACAACUCCGGAACGAAACCGAAGCUAACGAGAGAAGCAACCCAGAAAGAAUCAAACAACAUAGUAAACAACCACCACAUAAACAUGGCAUGAUGCACAACCAAGUAUGAUGCAUGUCCGGUUUAAUGAGGCAUGGCAUGGCAAAGUGCACAAACAACUCUACAAGUUAAGUGGAGCUCAAUAUGCAACGAGUUGCAUAUUGAUGGAACACCACAUCAAAUAUUUAGUUCUCUCCCGUUUAUGUAACCAACAAUACUAAAUGUUGUUAAACAUGGCAAGAGGUGAAGCAUAUAAAAACCACCUAUUUAGGCAAGUUUAAAUGAGGCCGGAACAACAAACAACAAUUCCGAAAAAAUCCUCAUGUGCAUAAUUUGGAUAUGGUAUUGUUCUGCCUAUUACACAAUUUUAGAGUUGUUAAACAGGAAAAUAAAGUUUAUUUAAAACGGAGCUAUGUUUAUUUAGUUAUGAAAUAAAACAUUUUAGCAUGUUAUUUAAGCAAACUUAAUCAGGCAGCAAGUUAAACAUUUUUAACAAGGAUGAAAGUUGCAUACUGUUAAAGAACAUGAAAAUAUGAACAAAAUGCAUAUAUGACAUGUUUCAAAUGGAUGCAUGGAUCUUUAGUUAACAACAAUGCAAAACCAGUGACAUUUUCUGUAAAUAUGCAUGCACUUGGAAUUAGACAAAUCCCAGCGAACAUAAAAAAAGGAUGCGGGCCAAAUGCUGCGCACUGUGGAAGCCCAGCAGCAAAUCUGGCCCGAAGCGGAUAAGUGUGUGUGAGCAGAAAAAAAUAAAAAGGAAACAGAGCAAAAAUAUGGGGCGGCUAGGACUUGAUCCCACGACCUCCUGGAUAGAGGAGUAGUGUGAAGACGACUGCGCUGCUGCUACAUGUUCAACAUGGUAGCAGGAAAACAUAAUAAGACCAUCCGAAAGGGCCGACCUUGGCCCUCCAUGGCCGCACGGAGAUCGCCGGUGACGAUGGCGACCAAAGCAGUGACGGUGGAGGCUAGAGAGCGCCAGCGGGGGUGCGGAACUUGGUGGGGUUGCGGUUCCUGCAAGCGGGGCUGCUACGGAACAUGCACGCACGGGGCUGCUCGAGCACGAGCUUGAGCUCGUCUCGGGCAGGGCGAUGGGCUAAGGCUGAGUGCAUGAGCACGUGCAUCGCGUGGGUGUGUGCGUGUGUGUAUGCAAGCGGUGGGUGCUGGGCAUGGAUCCGAGCGUGCUCGUGCUUGCGUGUGUGCGUGAGCACGUGGGAACAAGGGCGACGACCUCGUGGUCAGGGCGUCUGAUCUAGUUGUGGAUGAAGAAACAACGGCGAGCAGGCCCUCUUGUAUGCGUGGAAACGACAACGAUGACGACGGAAUAUGACGGGGAAGGAGAUGGGAAGGAGCAGCGGCUCACCACUGGCUCGAGUGGCUCGACGAGGACGUUGGGAGGUGAAGGAGAGGGCGACGAGGUGCUGAAGACGGUGAUGGAGCACGCUGUCCGUGAAGAAGAAGAAGCAGGGGAGGUAAUCGUCAUGGAGGGGCACGCUCCUGGGCUCCAGGGACUUGCUACGGGGUCGAGGACGAAGGCAGGGACGCAUAAGUGGUCGUGGAAGAAGAAAAAGACGGCUACGACGAGGAUCAAGCCGGAGAAAGAAGACGACGUAGAGGACGUCGUGGAAGGAGCUACGGGGACCGUGUGGUCGUGUGCGUAGUCGAGGAAGACGACGACGAGGCACGCGAGGCUCCGGACGAAGAAAAUGGCGGCUGCUUGUUGGAUCACGCCGGAGAGGAGCUCGGUCUCCUUCUCGGUCAUGGCAACAGCUUGGCAUGGAGAGGCUUACCUGGGUGGCGGCGAGGGCAGGAGAAGGAGGGAAUGGAAAGAGGAGGUCUAGGGCAAGGCACAUGACGCGUUAAAUAGGGCUCUAGAGCAGUCUCCGGCCAUCAAAUCAUCAGGCGUGCCGACAUGGAGAUCUUGGAUGCACUGCCGUACAGGAGGGAAGAAGAAGAACAGGGGUGCUGGAUGGGCUGCAUCGGAGGGAGUAAGUGGCUGCGCUAGGCCAUGGCUGGGUUGAGGCGCUGGGCUCUCUCUCUCUCCCUCUAUAUUCUUUCCUUUUCCUUUUCCAGAACAGAAAACACUUGGAGGAAAAGAAUAGAAGGGCGGGAAUGGAAUUCGAAAGAUAAGAAUAUAUGUAUGGAGUCCUGGAAAGAUGAACAUUUUAAAUAAAAUGCUCUGGGAAUUUUAGAGACUGAAAAUUCAAGCAAGUUUGAGAAUAACUCAAACUUGAAUAAAUCCUUAGCCCAACCCAAAACACUUCCAGAAGACCUAAAAAUUGGAGAAGGUGGUCUUGGCAUUAUUUAGGAUUUGUAGGGAAAGGCUGAACAUUUUUCCGAACAUGAAAAAUGACACAAGAAAAAAAA
rnacentral:lncRNA from 1 species